AGGGGUGUAGCUCAGGGGUAGAGGGCUUGUCUAGCAUGCAUGAGGCCCUGGGUUCAAUCCUCAGCACCCUCC
rnacentral:tRNA from 1 species